GUGACCCUGCUUUGUGCGUGGCAACAUUAAAUAAUUGAGAAUCUAAGAUUAGAAUAGGGAUCUGUCACUGUUCUUGGUGAGCAAGCCGUUCGUUCGGAAGCCUAAAGAGAUUAAAUGGAUCCCACCUGAUGAGUCAGGUUCUAAUUGCAAUGUUGGGCAUCGGCAAUGCGGGGCACAC
rnacentral:other from 1 species